AGGUAUGUUUGUGAAGGUCAGACUGGGGAGCGAACAGCUGAAGAAGGAACUGAAGCUGGUUAACUGUUCAGGCAUCGCAGGACCCCCCACGUUCGACCUGUGUUCCAGGUGUGUAUCAGCCGGCUGUAGCUGGAGGAACCAGAACUGCUCCUGGACACCACAUCCAGCGCACACACACCUCACACAGGAGCCGGUGUGCCAGAUGGAUCAGCCAGGU